rnacentral:rRNA from 1 species
GACGAACGCUGGCGGCGUGCUUAACACAUACAAGUCGAACGGAAAGGCCCUGCUUUUGUGGGGUGCUCGAGUGGCGAACGGGUGAGUAACACGUGAGUAACCUGCCCUUGACUUUGGGAUAACUUCAGGAAACUGGGGCUAAUACCGGAUAGGAGCUCCUGCUGCAUGGUGGGGGUUGGAAAGUUUCGGCGGUUGGGGAUGGACUCGCGGCUUAUCAGCUUGUUGGUGGGGUAGUGGCUUACCAAGGCUUUGACGGGUAGCCGGCCUGAGAGGGUGACCGGCCACAUUGGGACUGAGAGACGGCCCAGACUCCUACGGGAGGCAGCAGUGGGGAAUAUUGCACAAUGGGCGGAAGCCUGAUGCAGCAACGCCGCGUGCGGGAUGACGGCCUUCGGGUUGUAAACCGCUUUCGCCUGUGACGAAGCGUGAGUGACGGUAAUGGGUAAAGAAGCACCGGCUAACUACGUG